rnacentral:miRNA from 1 species
UAUCACAGUUAUUUUGAAUCUG